rnacentral:rRNA from 1 species
GUAGUCCACGCCGUAAACGAUGAAUACUAGGUGUAGGAGGUAUCGACCCCUUCUGUGCCGCAGUUAACACAAUAAGUAUUCCGCCUGGGGAGUACGAUCGCAAGAUUAAAACUCAAAGGAAUUGACGGGGGCCCGCACAAGCAGCGGAGCAUGUGGUUUAAUUCGAAGCAACGCGAAGAACCUUACCUAGACUUGACAUCUCCUGAAUUACCCUUAAUCGGGGAAGCCCUUCGGGGCAGGAAGACAGGUGGUGCAUGGUUGUCGUCAGCUCGUGUCGUGAGAUGUUGGGUUAAGUCCCGCAACGAGCGCAACCCUUAUCAUUAGUUGCUACCAUUAAGUUGAGCACUCUAGUGAGACUGCCACGGUUAACGUGGA